GGCUUGUUUGUUUGUUUGUUUGUUUGUUUGUUUGUUUGUUUGUUUGUUUGUUUGUUUGUUUGUUUGUUUGUUUCAGGGACCGCGUGGGCCUCUGGAAAAGAGGGGUAGGUGUCGGGAGCCCUCGUGCGUUCUGAAGAGAUUUCGAUGAGACGAUUGACACAGCUUUUUCCUCGUUGCCCCAUCAUCGCCAAAGAAUUGUUUGAGGGGGCCGGUAACACUGGAGCUAUUGGGUUGUGUUGCCCCACCAGCAGUCGCCGACGGGGCCGGAAGGACGUCCGGCCUGGUCUGCUGCCUUUGCCAUUAUGACUCCACAUGUUCGCACUGUUAACGUCACUUGAUACAGACAGUAGCUUUAGCUUGUCGUAGGUCGCCUGGCUGCUGACCGGGGCCUUGCACGGGAUUCAACGGCCAUCAUAA